rnacentral:misc_RNA from 1 species
UACAGAAGCCCCAAGCGUUACCCGUAUUUACUGGGCGUAAAGGGUGCGUAGGUGGUGUGAUUAGUCUCUUGUUAAAACCCAGGGCUCAACCUUGGGAUCGCGGGAGAAACGGUCACACUUGAGGAUGCGAGAGGCCUGGGGAACUCACGGUGUAGGGGUGAAAUCCGUUGAUAUCGUGGGGAACACCAAAAGCGAAGGCACCAGACUGGCGUAUUCCUGACACUGAGGCACGAAAGCGUGGGUAGCGAACGGG